UGUAUUUUGACUGUGCUAAGGUAGCGAAAUCAUUAGUUUUUUUAUUGGGAACCUGUAUGAGGGGAAAAAUGAAAAGUGAAAGAUUAAUUAUCUUUUUUUUGAACUUGAUUUUUUAAUGAAAAUUUUAGUUUUUUCCUAAAGACGAGAAGACCCCGAAAUCUUUAUUUUAAAAUGACUUUUUUUAAUUUUUAUUUGGGGGAAAGAGAUAUUUUUAUAUUAAAUUUUUUUAUUGUGAACUUUUUAAGGUUGAUUGGAUAGAUACUUUGGGGAUAACAGGAUAAUUCAUCUUAGAAGUUCUUAUUUUAAGAGGAGAUUGUUACCUCGAUGUUGGCUUUUGA
rnacentral:rRNA from 1 species